rnacentral:rRNA from 1 species
AGAACGAACGCUGGCGGCAGGCCUCAAACAUGCAAGUCUAGGGGGCGUAGCAAUACGUCACCGGCGGACGGGUGCGUAACACGUGGGAAUGUACUUACUGGUUCGGAACAACUCAGGGAAACUUGAGCUAAUACCGAAUGUGCCCGAAAGGGGAAAGAUUUAUCGCCAGUAAAUCAGCCCGCGUCCGAUUAGCUAGUUGGCGGGGUAAAGGCCCACCAAGGCGACGAUCGGUAGCUGUUCUGAGAGGAAGAUCAGCCACACUGGGACUGAGACACGGCCCAGACUCCUACGGGAGGCAGCAGUUGGGAAUCUUGGACAAUGGGGAAACCCUGAUCCAGCCAUGCCGCGUGAGUGAUGAAGGCCUUGGGUUGUAAAACUCUUUCGACGGGGACGAUAAUGACGGUACCCGUAGAAGAAGCUCCGGCUAACUUCGCGCCAGCAGCCGC